UCUACUUUUUUUUCUUAAAUUUUUUUUUCUUCAUUAAUCUUUUGUUUCAUCUUCAGAAAAAAUAUUAUUCUUCUUUCUUCACUUUCAAUCACAAUGGAUAUGCGGAUUUUUCGAUAAUUAUCACAAUUAAUUAAAGACAUUGAAGUUGAUUUUAAUGGAAAUAUAUAAUAUUUGUUAGCUUAUCCAUCCAAUAAAUAUUUCUUUAUUAAUAAUUAUAAAGGACAAGAAUGAUUUUGUUAUGUUUGUUAUUUUCCAUAUGCAUAUUAUUAAAGAUUGAAUUUAAAAAUUUUAAUAAGAUAGUAUUGCAAAAAAUGUUGUUAUCCAUAUAUAUAUAUCAUUAAUUUUCUAGUUUUUAUUUGCAUAGAAGAUAAUCAAAGUUGUACAACUUUAUUUAUUUAUAUGUAUUAUAUACAUAUGUACGUAUAUAAAGAUAUGAAUGUAAAAGGAAAAUAACUAAUGUUUAUUAUUUUUACAACUCAUUCAAUUCUUUUCGUUUCUUGACACUUGAAUUACAAUCUGGCGAUCAUAAACAUUUUGAUAUUAAUAAUCCUAAAAUGGCACACUAUAUUUUUCUAAAUUUUUUAUAUUUUAUACUUACUUGAAUGAUAUUUUUUUUUUUUUUUACAUUAUAUGUUAUUAUGCAAUGUUUGAAACGUCGUAAAAAUUUAAUCAUAUUUCUUAGUAUAUGUUACUUAACUAUUCUGCAGCCAUUUGUAUAAGAAUUUAUAAGAAUUUCAAACACAUAUGCAAUGAGAGCACAUUCAAAAGAUAUACGAUGACAAAUGAAAAAUAAACAAUCAUUGUGUAUGUUCAUAUAACAUCCAAAUUGGCAUAUUUUUGUCAUUGAAAUUUCAUAACAGAAACGAAAGAAUGGUAGGCAAUUUAAGAGUACCAUUAUGUUUCUUAACGCGCCGUCCAUACAGCUGGGAUACCGCCCCAAAGUUUGACUUAUUUACUUGCGAAAAGAUCAAGAAAAAUUAUUCGGUUUACGCACACAUAUAUCCUUAACGUUCGAUAAGUUUGUGGAAUAGUAUGUUUCUUUCGUUUUCGCUCACACCUACAAACGUGCGGCCCCUCUUUCUCGACUUACUAGGAGAUAGGAGAACCGCUAAAAGCUCACGUAAACAUGAAAUGUAUCGAUUCGAAUAUUAAACAAGAGAUCGUUGCAGAAUAAUAAAACUCGAUCAUGUAAUUUUGAUGAGCACAUUUGGCUGAGAGAAUGGGAAGUUGAAUAAUUUUGUAUAAUGUACACUUACCAGCUUAAUUAAAAUUAUAUGCAAUUUUA